rnacentral:rRNA from 1 species
AUUGAACGCUGGCGGCAGGCCUAACACAUGCAAGUCGAAUGGUAACAGGAAACAGCUUGCUGUUUCGCUGACGAGUGGCGGACGGGUGAGUAAUGUCUGGGAAACUGCCUGAUGGAGGGGGAUAACUACUGGAAACGGUAGCUAAUACCGCAUAACGUCGCAAGACCAAAGAGGGGGACCUUCGGGCCUCUUGCCAUCAGAUGUGCCCAGAUGGGAUUAGCUAGUAGGUGGGGUAACGGCUCACCUAGGCGACGAUCCCUAGCUGGUCUGAGAGGAUGACCAGCCACACUGGAACUGAGACACGGUCCAGACUCCUACGGGAGGCAGCAGUGGGGAAUAUUGCACAAUGGGCGCAAGCCUGAUGCAGCCAUGCCGCGUGUAUGAAGAAGGCCUUCGGGUUGUAAAGUACUUUCAGCGGGGAGGAAGGGAGUUAAGUUAAUACCUUUGCUCAUUGACGUUACCCGCAGAAGAAGCACCGGCUAACUCCGUG